UUCUUUGUUCUUUACCCCUAACUUCUUUAGAUCAUCAACUAGAUCAUAAAAUGCUUCUUGAAGUUCUUCAAAAGUAAAGUCAUCAGGAGUUUCAGCGUUUAUCUCAUUUUUAUGUGUCAUAACGCACAAGUUGGUUUGCUCAUGUGAAUCUUCUUUUUUGGAGCUUGACUCAUCACUGUCACUCUAUGUAGCCAUCAUAGCCUUUUUCUUGUACUUCUUG
rnacentral:lncRNA from 1 species